rnacentral:rRNA from 1 species
UCGUACUGUGAAGCAUCCUGUUAAGUCAGGCAACGAGCGAGACCCACGCCAACAGUUGCCAGCAUGUCCUCCGGGAUGAUGGGGACACUGUUGGGACCGCCUCUGCUAAAGAGGAGGAAGGAAUGGGCAACGGUAGGUCAGCAUGCCCCGAAUUAUCCGGGCUACACGCGGGCUACAAUGGUCAGGACAAUGGGUAUCGACACCGAGAGGUGGAGGCAAUCUCCUAAACCUGUCCUUAGUUCGGAUUGUGGGCUGCAACUCGCCCACAUGAAGCUGGAAUCCGUAGUAAUCGCGUUUCAAAAUAGCGCGGUGAAUAUGUCCCUGCUCCUU